rnacentral:rRNA from 1 species
UACAGAGGGUGCAAGCGUUGUUCGGAAUUAUUGGGCGUAAAGGGCGCGUAGGCGGCGCGACAAGUCACCUGUGAAAUCUCCGAGCUUAACUCGGAGCCUGCAGGCGAAACUGUCGUGCUGGAGUAUGGGAGAGGUGCGUGGAAUUCCCGGUCGUAGCGGUGAAAUGACGUAGAUAUCGGGAGGAACACCUGUGGCGAAAGCGGCGCACUGGACCAUAACUGACGCUGAGGCGCGAAAGCUAGGGGAGCAAACAGG